ensembl:lncRNA
UUUGUGUAGAAGCUCUUUGCCGUGUUGCUGUGAGCUAUGACUUUUCACACACACUCUACUCACUGUGUUCACAGGGUGUGUAUCUUCAGGAAGAUCUUCUGCUUUGUGUGUGUCACAAUGCUUCUGGUUUUCAGUCUGUACACCGCGGUACCGUACUGGUACACAGAGUAAGAGCUCUAAUAGCUCUUUCUUCACUCCAUCAUUGCAUUUCUUACAAACGUGGAAAUGAGUGUGUUACGUACCGAGAGCCUCCAGGUCGUCUUUGUGAUGUUCGCAGCACUUUGUGUCAAAUCCGGUAAGUUUAUAACUCCUUGAAGGUCUCAAGUCAUGAAGUGACGAAGUUCUGGAGACAGAGGUUCUGUUCGUGUUCACUGCUCACUGGUUCUGAUACACACGUUAUACUGUGUGUUCACUGUUACUCUGAACAUCAUCACCGAAACUGUUGAUACAAACAGGAAGGUGGAAUAAGAGUAAAUAUCACUUGCUUUGCUUUUUUCUCUUUAUUGAGCAAUUUGUUUUAUUUUGGAUUCUUAAAUGUAGGUAAUGGUGUGUGUGUGUGUGUGUGUGUGUGUGUGUGUGUGUGUGUUUUGUACCUGUGCAGGUAGAACAGCUGAACAAGUGUAUGGAUUAAUAGGAAAAGAGGCUCAACUGGAUCCGAAAGAGACUGAAACCAUCAAUAGGAUCACAUGGAAGAAAGAGAACAACAAAAUAGUCGAGUGGAUCGAGAAUCCAAAACCGCACAGGUAUUCCAGAUGUUUGACUGAAGACCAGUGUAACCUGAAUAAGUCAACUGGGGUGCUGAUAUUGAAAGGGUUAAAACGAGAAGAUAAAGGACGAUACUUUUCCGAAAUAAACAGUAAAGGACAGAUGCCUGAGCAGCUCUUUUCCUCUACAGAACCUGUGUCCAAACCUCGAGUCGCCAGAGACUGCAGUUGGACCCAGUGCAUCCUGGCCUGUGUGGGAGAGGAGACUAAUCACACCAAAUACUCCUGGAAAGAGAACAAGGAAACUGUAAAAGAGGGAAACAUUUUGAUGGUGGAGAAGAGUGGAGAGCAGAGUAAAAGUUACACCUGUGUGUUCAGUAACCCUAAGAGUGAGGAGCACAGUGACCCAGUCAGUGCGAUGGACAUAUCCCCAGGUCAGUAGUUGAACGUUUUUAAAAAAUACUCUGUAUUACAAUAUUUCUUAUAUGAUAUUCUAGAUUUCAGUAAAGUUGGUGUCAAGACUCCAGAGCAAUACUUUCUGCCAGUGGAAGUUCAUGACCUUCUGUAACAUUUGUUGAAAAUUAUGGAUUUUUUGGAACUGUAAUUUUAUACAUGUAUGGAUGAUUUAUCAAGUUUAUUAGGUUAAUUCCUUUGAUAAACUGUUUCUUUUAAAGGUUCUUCCGUUGGACUGAUAGUCGUUUUCAUCGUUGGAGUAACUGAGUUCCUGAUCCUCAGUCUAGUGGCCGUCAUCAUUUGAUGUUUAAAACAAAAUAAUUCCUAGGUCAUUAAAGCCCAUUAUUCCAAAAAAAUACUGAUAUCUGAGCAGAAUUAAUACACAGGUACCAUGACAUGAAGGUUCAGGACCUGUAUCUGUCACAGAGGUCUGUUGGUUGUACCUUCAGUCAAAGUAUCCCUCAGCAGAAGGUCAUGUUGGACUGGAGCGACUGCUGAGAGCAGAAGCACAAAGAGUCCAGUUCCUCCAACAGUGUUUCAUAGCUACACGUCACAUCAUUGUGUCCAUUUCAGUGCUUCUUCAGGGUUACGAGUGAAUUCCUAGUUGAUGAUCCUGCCUGUGAAGUUCUGCUCUCUGCUUCACGUCACACUUUCAGUGCCUGCUGUUGAACUUCUCUCAUUGUCUCCAGGAU